rnacentral:rRNA from 1 species
UACGAAGGGGGCUAGCGUUGCUCGGAAUUACUGGGCGUAAAGGGCGCGUAGGCGGAUAGUUUAGUCAGAGGUGAAAGCCCAGGGCUCAACCUUGGAAUUGCCUUUGAUACUGGCUAUCUUGAGUUCGGGAGAGGUGAGUGGAAUGCCGAGUGUAGAGGUGAAAUGCGCAGAUAUCAGGAGGAACACCAAUGGCGAAGGCAGCUCGCUGGGACGUGACUGACGCUGAAACGCGAAAGCGUGGGGAGCAAACAGG